AGGGCUCUUUAUUUAGCACAAGACACUUCUUUCUUCUUCUUCCCUGUGGCAUCCUUGCAGAAAAUGCAGGUGGAUUGAAGGGAGGGAGGGAGCUCUUUAUUUUGAAUCUGUUGCUGUUGAUGAUACAAUGAAAUGUUAGUGAAAAUGCAUAGAAAUGACUCCAUGGUUUGAGUUCUUUCUGUGUAAGUUGGAAGGAAUUGCAUAUCUAUUUGGAAGGAGGAAGGAUUGAAUUCCAAUUUGCCUACUAAAAUUCAAUGAUUUUGACUAGUUGAACUGGAAUACUUUUAAUGUAAACUAUGAUAAGCAAUUAAAGUAAAAAAGUUAUAUUUCAA